AAAGAAAUUCAGUUAAAUUUUCAUAAUUAAGGUGAAAUAAUUAAAGAAUAGUCUUUAUUAAUCAAAUCAUAGAAUUAUUUACUCUGUUUAUCAACACAGGUAAGAUGACAAUUUAUCUUCAACUUGUACUUACAAACAUAUCGAUAUCCAAAUACUCAAUUCGAAGUCGGAUCCAAGUGAUUUUCAAUAAACUUCAUUGAGGUUUUCCCAUGUUUUUCACAAAAUCAAAAGAUUCUAAUGGAGGGUAAAAUUAAACAAGAACCUGGAAUCGAAGAGGUUGAGAACACCGAAUUACUCAACUUUAAAGAUCAGUUGUAUGAAAUUAAAUGUGCUAAACUUUCAAAACGGAUUGCAGAAUAUAAAUUGGAAAAUGAAAAACUUGUUCAACAUAUAUGUGAGAUUAAGAAAUUGAUAGACGAUUAUGGCAAACAAAAAAGAUCUACGUGAAGAGACUGCGAGGGAAGAGAAGUGUUUCAUUAAUUCUCAGCUUGGUGCUUUUGCGAACAAUCCAUAAGUGAGGUUGUAAUUCUUCAAAUGGCUGAAUUGCAACUCCUUGCCCACGAAUCCAGAAAAUGUCAACAUCCGAUAAUCUUGCAUGCAUUCAACAGCUAUUGAGCUCUGUUAAAAAAAGAGAAAAAUUAAUAUCUUGAUUAGAUUCAAUAAAACCAAAAGUAAAGGAUGAUAACCAUUAAAGAUAAUCAUUAAGCAAUAA